CAGAUGGCCAGAACCUGGUGAAGAAGACAGUCUGGUAAGUAGGGAUUGUAGAAAGACUCAAGAGGAUAUUCAGACUGGCAGAUAUGUCACAUCACAGUAAUGUAAUGUCAAUGGUUGUGCAAUUGUUUUCUGUACAAACAAUGAGUGGGAAAAAAAUGCAACUAGCAUAGGAAAAGGCUUGUCAAUGCAGUCUGAACAGAUACUGGCUCCACG